GCCGGGGUGGCAGAGUCUGGUUAAUUGCGCCGGUCUUGAGAACCGGUGACCCAUAUGCGGUCUCCUGGGUUCAAAUCCCAGCCCCGGCG
rnacentral:tRNA from 1 species